rnacentral:snoRNA from 1 species
UCAUAUGAUGUUUCUUUUUCAAUAUAAUAUACGCUGGAAAUUACCGGCUGAGACUUUCGAGUCGUGGACGAUAUCAAAUGGCUAUAUCUGAUU